rnacentral:lncRNA from 1 species
AUCACACUGGAAAUCAUGAUUGAUCCAGUAACAAUAUCCACAGGACACACAUAUGAUCGGUCUUCGAUCAUGAAAUGGUUUAAGUCGGGAAAUCAUACCUGCCCAAAGACAGGGGAGAGGCUUAUAUCCGUAGAUCUUGUCCCGAAUUUGGCUCUUAAGCGACUUAUCAAACAAUAUUGUUCGGAAAAUGGAAUCCAAUUUGUAGAUACUGGUGCCCAUAAUAAUGAUAUUACGAGGUCACCUGGUGCAGGUAGUGCCAUAGCUGAGCAAGUUAUGACAUUGCUUGCAAGUUAUCUCGUAGGCAAGCUCAUGGCAGGAACAAGCGGAGAGCAACACAAGUCGGCUUACGAGAUUCGUCUGCUCACCAAAACAAGUGUUUUUAAUAGGUCUUGUUUGGUGGAAGCUGAUGCAAUCCCGUCUCUCCUGAAUUUUCUCAGUUCAAGUAAUCCUGCAGCACAAGAGAACGCGAUUGCAGCUUUGAUGAAUCUCUCAAAGUACGCGAAAAGCAAGAGGAUAAUGAUUGAGAGUGGAGGCUUGGACCUGAUAGUCGGGGUUUUAAACAAGGGACUGAGGAUAGAAGCCCGCCAGCACGCGGCUGGCACGUUGUUCUACCUUGCUUCAGUCGAGGAG